rnacentral:rRNA from 1 species
UACGUAGGGUCCGAGCGUUGUUCGGAAUUAUUGGGCGUAAAGGGCUCGUAGGCGGUUUGUCACGUCGGGGAGUGAAAACUUGGGGCUUAACCCCAUUCGUGCUUCCGAUACGGGGCAGACUAGAGGCAGGCAGGGGGAGAACGGAAUUCCUGGUGUAGCGGUGGAAUGCGCAGAUAUCAGGAGGAACACCGGUGGCGAAGGCGGGUCUCUGGGCAACAACUGACGCUGAGGAGCGAAAGCGUGGGGAGCGAACAGG